GACGAACGCUGGCGGCGUGCCUAAUACAUGCAAGUCGAACGCAGUGGGGACGGGUGAGGAACACGCGGGUAACCUGCCAUCAGAGGGGAUAACACUUGGAAAAAGGUGCUAAACCGAUACUGAUGGAUGGACCCGCGGUGCAUUAGCCAGUUGGUGAGGUAACGGCUCACCAAGGCCAAGAUGCAUAGCCGGCCUGAGAGGGUGAUCAGCCACACUGGAACUGAGACACGGCCCAGACUCCUACGGGAGGCAGCAGUAGGGAAUCUUCGGCAAUGGGCGAAAGUCUGACCGAGCAACGCCGCGUGAGUGAAGAAGGUGUUCGGGUCGUAAAGCACUGUUGUUAGAGAGGCGGUAUCUAACCAGAAAGCCACGGCUAACUACGUGCCAGCAGCCGCGGUAAUUC
rnacentral:rRNA from 1 species